UACGUACGAGGCGAGCGUUAUCCGGAAUUACUGGGCGUAAAGCGCGCGCAGGCGGACCAUUAAGUUGGGCGUGAAAUCUCCCGGCCUAACUGGGAGGGGUCGCCCAAGACUGGUGGUCUUGAGGACAGCAGAGGUGGGUGGAAUUCCUGGUGUAGUGGUGAAAUGCGUAGAGAUCAGGAGGAACACCGGUGGCGAAGGCGGCGAUCUGGGUCGAUACUGACGCUGAGACGCGAAAGCGUGGGGAGCGAACAGG
rnacentral:rRNA from 1 species